GAAAUCGGAGCUAAUACCGAAUGAUGCAGCGGAUCCUUAUGGCUAUGUUGUUAAAGGUGUCUUCGGAUAUCGCCAAUAGAUGAACCUGCGUCCCAUUAGCUUGUUGGUGAGGUAACGGCUCACCAAGGCGACGAUGGGUAGCCGGCCUGAGAGGGUGGUCGGUCACACUGGAACUGAGACACGGUCCAGACUCCUACGGGAGGCAGCAGUGAGGAAUAUUGGGCAAUGGGCGAAAGCCUGACCCAGCAACGCCGCGUGAGGGAAGAGGCUCUACGGAGUGUAAACCUCUGUUAGGAGGGAUGAAUGUUGUAAUGGUAAAUAAUCAUUACGAAGAGACGGUACCUCCAAAGAAAGCCCCGGCUAACUCCGUGCCAGCAGCCGCGGUAAUACGGGGGGGGCAAGCGUUGUCCGGAAUUACUGGGCGUAAAGGGCGUGUAGGCGGAUAGGUCAGUCGAUGGUGAAAUCCUACAGCUUAACUGUAGAAUUGCCUUUGAUACUGCCUAUCUUGAGUUCGGAAGAGGGAAGCGGAAUUCCUGGUGUAGCGGUGAAA
rnacentral:rRNA from 1 species